rnacentral:rRNA from 1 species
GACGGAGGGGGCUAGCGUUGUUCGGAAUAACUGGGCGUAAAGGGCGCGUAGGCUGCUUUUUAAGUUAGGCGUGAAAGCCCUGGGCUCAACCCAGGAACUGCGCUUAAGACUGGAAGGCUAGAGUAUGGUAGAGGGAAGUGGAAUUCCUAGUGUAGAGGUGAAAUUCGUAGAUAUUAGGAAGAACACCAGAGGCGAAGGCGGCUUCCUGGACCAUAACUGACGCUGAGGCGCGAAAGCGUGGGGAGCAAACAGG